rnacentral:rRNA from 1 species
AACGAACGCUGGCGGCAGGCUUAACACAUGCAAGUCGAGCGCCCCGCAAGGGGAGCGGCAGACGGGUGAGUAACGCGUGGGAAUCUACCCAUCCCUACGGAAUAGCUCCGGGAAACUGGAAUUAAUACCGUAUACGCCCUACGGGGGAAAGAUUUAUCGGGGAUGGAUGAGCCCGCGUUGGAUCAGCUAGUUGGUGGGGUAAAGGCCUACCAAGGCGACGAUCCAUAGCUGGUCUGAGAGGAUGAUCAGCCACAUUGGGACUGAGACACGGCCCAAACUCCUACGGGAGGCAGCAGUGGGGAAUAUUGGACAAUGGGGGCAACCCUGAUCCAGCCAUGCCGCGUGAGUGAUGAAGGCCUUAGGGUUGUAAAGCUCUUUCACCGGGGAAGAUAAUGACGGUACCCGGAGAAGAAGCCCCGGCUAACUUCGUGCCAGCAGCCGCGGUAAUACGAAGGGGGCUAGCGUUGUUCGGAAUUACUGGGCGUAAAGCGCA